rnacentral:rRNA from 1 species
AGAAUAUUGGAGAGGUCAGGAGAAUUCCUAGUGUAGAGGUGAAAUUCGUAGAUAUUAGGAGGAAUACCAGUGGCGUAGGCGCCUGACUGGACAAUUAUUGACGCUGAGGUACGAAAGUGUGGGGAGCAAACAGGAUUAGAUACCCUGGUAGUCCACACCGUAAACGAUGUGUACUAGUUGUCGGGCCCUUGAGGUUCGGUGACGCAGCUAACGCAGUAAGUACACCGCCUGGGAAGUACGGCCGCAAGGUUAAAACUCAAAGGAAUUGACGGGGACCCGCACAAGCGGUGGAGCAUGUGGUUUAAUUCGAAGCAACGCGAAGAACCUUACCAACCCUUGACAUCCUUAUCGCGGAUAGCAGAGAUGCUUUCCUUCAGUUCGGCUGGAUAAGUGACAGGUGCUGCACGGCUGUCGUCAGCUCGUGUCGUGAGAUGUUCGGUUAAGUCCGGUAACGAGCGCAACCCCUAUCUCUAGUUGCCAUCAUUAAGUUGGGCACUCUAGCGAGACUGCCUGUGACAAGCAGGAGGAAGGCGGGGACGAGGUCAAGUCAUCAUGGCCCUUACGGGUUGGGCUACACACGUGCUACAAUGGUAAUGACAAUGGGAUGCAACCUCGCGAGAGGAAGCCAAUCUCCAAAAAUUAUCUCAGUUCGGAUUGUUCUCUGCAACUCGAGAGCAUGAAGUUGGAAUCGCUAGUAAUCGUGAAUCAGCAUGUCGCGGUGAAUACGUUCCCGGGUCUUGUACACACCGCCCGUCAAGCAAUGGGAGUUGGUUCUACCCGACGGCCGUGCGCUAACCUUUUAGGAGGCAGCGGACCACGGUAGGAUCAGCGACUGGUGCUAAGUCGUAACAAGGUAGCCGUAUCGGAAGGUGCGGCUG